GACGAACGCUGGCGGCGUGCCUAAUACAUGCAAGUCGCACGGGCAGUAGCAAUACUGUCAGUGGCGACGGGUGAGUAACGCGUAGGAAUCUAUCCUUGAAUGGGGGACAACCGUGGGAAACUACGGCUAAUACCGCAUGAUGCCUGAGGGCCAAAGACGAAAGUCGUUUGAGGAGGAGCCUGCGUCUGAUUAGGUAGUUGGUGGGGUAAAGGCCUACCAAGCCUGCGAUCAGUAGCUGGUCUGAGAGGAUGAUCAGCCACACUGGGACUGAGACACGGCCCAGACUCCUACGGGAGGCAGCAGUGGGGAAUAUUGGACAAUGGGCGCAAGCCUGAUCCAGCAAUGCCGCGUGGGUGAAGAAGGUCUUCGGAUUGUAAAGCCCUUUUGGCAGGGACGAUGAUGACGGUACCUGCAGAAUAAGCUCCGGCUAACUUCGUG
rnacentral:rRNA from 1 species